CGGCAUGCCUUACACAUGCAAGUCGAACGGCAGCAUGGAAGAGCUUGCUCUUCUGAUGGCGAGUGGCGAACGGGUGAGUAAAGCAUCGGAACGUACCGUGUAGUGGGGGAUAACGUAGCGAAAGUUGCGCUAAUACCGCAUACGCACUGAGGUGGAAAGCAGGGGAUCGCAAGACCUUGCGCUAUACGAGCGGCCGAUGUCAGAUUAGCUAGUUGGUAGGGUAAAGGCCUACCAAGGCGACGAUCUGUAGCGGGUCUGAGAGGAUGAUCCGCCACACUGGGACUGAGACACGGCCCAGACUCCUACGGGAGGCAGCAGUGGGGAAUUUUGGACAAUGGGCGAAAGCCUGAUCCAGCCAUGCCGCGUGAGUGAAGAAGGCCUUCGGGUUGUAAAGCUCUUUCGGCUGGGAAGAAAUCGCACAGGCUAAUACUCUGUGUGGAUGACGGUACCAGCACAAGAAGCACCGGCUAACUACGUG
rnacentral:rRNA from 1 species